rnacentral:misc_RNA from 1 species
GAUGAAGAACGUAGCGAAAUGCGAUAAGUAAUGUGAAUUGCAGAAUUCAGUGAAUCAUCGAAUCUUUGAACGCACAUUGCGCCCCCUGGUAUUCCGGGGGGCAUGCCUGUCCGAGCGUCAUAACAACCCUCAAGCUCAGCUUGGUGUUGGGCCCCGCCGCCCCGGCGGGCCCUAAAGUCAGUGGCGGUGCCGUCCGGCUCCGAGCGUAGUAAUUCUUCUCGCUCUGGAGGUCCGGUCGUGUGCUCGCCAGCAACCCCCAAUUUUUUUCAGGUUGACCUCGGAUCAGGUAGGGAUACCCGCUGAACUUAAGCAUAUCAAUAAGCGGAGGA